rnacentral:rRNA from 1 species
UACGUAUGGACCGAGCGUUGUCCGGAAUCACUGGGCGUAAAGGGUACGUAGGCGGUUAGAAAAGUUAGAAGUGAAAGGCUAUAGCUCAACUAAUGUAAGCUUUUAAAACUGCUAGACUUGAGAGAUUGAGGGGAAAGUGGAAUUCCUAGUGUAGCGGUGAAAUGCUUAGAUAUUAGGAGGAAUACCAGUGGCGAAGGCGACUUGCUGGAAUCUAACUGACGCUGAGGUACGAAAGCGUGGGUAGCAAACAGG